rnacentral:lncRNA from 1 species
UAUACUCUUUCCUCUGUUUCCACAGUUUCGCCGACGCGGCGAUCCCGAACACCACGUGGCUGAGAUCGGUUGGCUCGUCUUCCACCUCUUCCUCCUCGGACUCGCGCCGACGUGAAGGUAGUGCAGAGGAGGAGGAGGAGGAGGAGAGGUUGGCGGAGAGGGUGGUGAAGGUGAUGGAAUCGUCGCAGGAGCGUGAGGUGGAGACGAGCUUGAGCAUGUAGAUAAUGUAAGUGAAAGCGAUGAAGCAGAUGAGCCAGACCAUUAGUUUAGGACCGGGUCGGGUUACCACCGACAACGUUCCGGGUUUCUCCGAGGAGUCUUUCUGGUUACCUUUCAUCCUCCCUCUUUCGAGCUUCUUGAUUCGUACCCCCAGAGGAGAGAACGAACCGAAAAGAUUGGAUCUUUGUUUUCGUAAAAGAGAAAGAUUAGUGUGAGUGAGAUUGGUGAUGGAUGUCCUGAGAAAUCGCUUCUUGGUUUCAAACGAUCCUUAUUUUAUCUCUCAGGUACAUAUGCUGCGCUGGUUACAUGCCUUGUAGCGGCAGGUGUGGAGAAGCCAAAUGUCCUCAACUUUGUCUUGCCACUGAGGUGAGGAUAUUUGUUUUCAGAGCUUUUUAUCUUUAAAUGAAGUCUUGUUAUAGAAUGUUUCAUUACAGCAUCUGAAUAUAAUAACAUAAGCAUAUAUAAUCUCAUGCCUAUGUUAUAUGGGCUUAUGAUGCCACUCCAUGAGUUGUUAAAUAUUAUAAAAGUUUCCUAAAUAGCAAAAUGAUUCGUAGGUCUUUUGCUGCUUUGGAACCUCUGUGGCAUCGACUCGUUUCCUUCUGCAAGAUGAGUUCCAAAUUCAGACCACACAAUGUGACAACUGCAUCAUUGUAAGUAGUAAUCCUCAUUGGUCACGCCGGUUAUUGAGACUCGCAAGCAGUUAAAGUAGAAACAGUACAGACUAUGAAACAUGAGAAACAAGUGUUAGUGAUCUGUGCUGUCUUAUUGGCUGUUGUAGGGUUUUAUGGUUUGCCUUAGCCAAGUGGCUUGCAUAUUCUCCAUAGUUGCGUGUAUCGUCGGCAUUGAUGAGCUUUCAGAAGCUUCCCAGCUGCUCUCUUGUUUAUCUGACAUGGUGUACUGCACGUAAGCAACUUCCUUAUCUGCACUCUCAUUUUCAUUCUCUCUUUAAACUUAAUUGACCCUGAUGAUCAUGUUUUUGCUUCAUUCCCAGGGUUUGCGCUUGUAUGCAGGUAAAGUGAUGAUAUCAACCUCACCUCUACUCAAAAAACUAAUAUCACAGUUUUCCUUAUAAAAUCUUAUUAUGCUUAUAUCUAGACACAACACAAGGUGGAAAUGGACAAGAGAGAUGGUAAGUUCGGUCCACAACCAAUGGCUGUGCCUCCCCCUCAGCUAAUGUCACGGAUUGAUCAAGCCACUCCACCCGCUAUCGGUUAUCCUCCACAAGGUUACCCACAACACCCUCCUCAAGGGUAUCCAUCUUCUGGCUACCCUCAAAACCCUCCAGCUUAUCCUCAGUACCCUCCUGGUCCGGCUUAUCCACCUCAAGGUUACCCAAAGUAAUCACUCUUUUGCGUUCACUUUCACGUCGUUGAUAUAUGCUCUGUGUGCCGGUCAAAGUGUUUUGAGGUCAUUAUUUGGUGUGUAAGACUUUACUUCAAAUCAUCUUGUUGUUAUCUGAGACCGUCCCCCUAUUGGACUGAGACAUCUGAUGAAUUUUUUUCUUUUCAUUUGAUUUUUUUUUUUGGAAAGUAAAGAGACCAAAUAUAUAUAUAUAUAUAUAUACACGUCGUCACGUCCAUUUCACUAAAAUCUAGUUUUUAAUAAAUAAAAAAUAUUUACUAAAUAUUGAUAUGUUGUGUUUGGAACAAUGUUGAAUUGAACCAGUUGGAUCUCAAUGAAUACAAUUUUAAAUAACGUGGCAAGAAAUUACGAGUGAGUAAAGCAGCCUAAAACUAUUUUUUCUUCUCAUUCAAAAAUUAAAUCAAUACAAAAAUACUAUAUAAGAGUAAGUUACUUUACUUCAGUGACUUCACCAUCUCUACAUACACCAACAUUGAUCCAUAACGUAUUAUUCCUCUUCGUUUGUAACACCCUGCAGCAGUUCCUCCUCGGUGACUGUACAAAAAACACAUGCACCAUGUAAGUCCACAACAUUAUGCACGUUAUAACCACAUGCUAAAAAAAAUAACAUUACGUUACUUACCCGUUCCCACAGAUGCGGAUCAGGUUUCUUGUAAACGACGAUGGUGUUAAUCUCAGCCGGGUUCGCUAUCUUCCACUUACAAGACGGAUGCGAAACACGGUGCCGCGUGUAUUCGCUAACCGUCGUGUUCAGCUGCUUGUCGAACUUCGUGGUCGACAUGUAAUACACAAACGGUUUUUGGCACGGUUGCCGACUAACAGGCCUGGUGUUGAAUGCGUAGGCGGUGUAGUCCGCUCUUUUGUACCAAUUCAAGAAGGUUCUAGAAGGCAUUUCCAUUUCCCUUGGAGAAAAUAUUCCUCGGAAUAUUUGGACCGCGUAGCCCCACGAGACCGAGACGGUCCAGCUCUUGUGCUUGUCGUAGCAUAUAGACUGCUGGAGAAGCCCGGCUGAGUCGAGCUUCAUCGGUACAGUUAGCUUCUUAAGGGAACGGACACGUGUCAUGUUUGGGAAGAUCGGCUCCACGACGUCGAGGUGGUGCACUGAGACGAACGGUGUUACUGGGUGAGCGGCCAGGAGACCGAAGAGGCUCCCGUAAACGUCGUACUGAAACGGAACAACACAAACUUAAGAUGUUACACGGAGCGUGAGUUUCACACGUCAUAUGUGCGCCUAGGAAAUUAUGACAUCAACAAAUCAUUCGAGUGUGAAAGAACAGAAAAGCGGGUCCCACACUCUUACACCUGUAUUCAACCAUCUAACUAAAGUAAAUGGACAAGACAUUGAGCUACUCACGCGCCGCUUUGUCGGUACCAAACCACGGAAAAUUUGCCAAAACAAAUAUUGAAGCACAAACAGAAAAAAGAAACGAAACUAAACCGGCAUGAGAUAUUCUUACAAGAAAAUUUUUUUUUUAGCAACAUCUUACAAGAAACAUUAUACUCCGAAAAAACAAGUGCCCCUAAAACUAGUCUUUUGAAACUCUUUCCGACAAAACUCUUAAAAGUUUCAAUUUUCCUGAAAAGCUAACUACUUUGAUUGAAACCCAUUUCAAUUACCAUCAUUACCUUCAAGACCCAUGUCAAAAUAUCACUAAAAACACCAACUUUCCCACUAAAAUCAUAAAAGAUUGCUUAUGGUUUCUACAUUAGGACUCAACAAUCAUCCACUAAAUCCUUAAAAGACAAAUUCACCAUACUUGGCAGUGACCCAGCACCAGCUAUUACUAGUUUACCACCAAACUGAAAUAUUCAGACAAAACUUGUCUUACCUGAUGAAAGCCGAGUUCUUUAGUAAGCGGAACACCGAGUUCAGCCAUACAAGCUUGCAUGCGAUCGUCUGAACCAUACAAUGCAGGAUACCUCUGUAUACACCGAUCCUGCAUCUUGCUCAAAGCCUUAGCCAGAGGGUAGCUAAUAGCGAACCCUCCUCCACCGUAAGCCAUCCCGUACGAGAAAAAUAUGUUCUGCAGAUGAGAUUCCGACAAGCUCCCUAUGUAAUACAUCUGCUCGUGGUCGUACUUCCUCAGCACCCUAAUGAGAUUAUCCGUGACGAAAACAGUGUCGUCGUCACCCAUCACGAACCACCUCACGUUUCUCGGACCAAGACGCAGCAUCUCCGACACGAUCCUCGAGAUCCGCAGCGCCGAGCGUUGCCCUUGCUUGUUCGUGUAAGGGAACGAAGCUGUCCCGCCGGAGAUUCUCACCGGCGGAAGUAGAUCCUCGUCGUCUUCGUUGCUGCUAGUGAUGUUCUUCUUCACCUCUUUGUCUAACCAGACAUAGCCGCACAUGUGUUUGGGCUUGUACCAGAUCUUGAUAUACUCUUUCCUCUGUUUCCACAGCUUCGCCGACGCGGCGAUCCCGAACACCACGUGGCUGAGAUCGGUCGGCUCGUCUUCUGCCUUCUCUUCUUCCUCCGACUCGCGCCGGCGUGAAGGUAGUGCAGAAGAGGAGGAGGAGGAGAGGUUGGCGGAGAGGGUGGUGAAGGUGAUGGAAUCGUCGCAGGAGCGUGAGGUGGAGACGAGCUUGAGCAUGUAGAUAAUGUAAGUGAAAGCGAUGAAGCAGAUGAGCCAGACCAUUAGUUUUGGACCGGGUCGGGUUACCACCGACAACGUUCCGGGUUUCUCCGAGGAGUCUUUC